UACGGGGGGGUAAGCGUUGUUCGGAAUUACUGGGCGUAAAGGGCUCGUAGGCGGCCAACUAAGUCGGACGUGAAAUCCCUCAGCUUAACUGGGGAACUGCGUCCGAUACUGGAUGGCUUGGAUUUGGGAGAGGGAUGCGGAAUUCCAGGUGUAGCGGUGAAAUGCGUAGAUAUCUGGAGGAACACCGGUGGCGAAGGCGGCUUGCCAGAACGCGCUCGACGGUGAGGGAUGAAAGCUGGGGGAGCAAACCGG
rnacentral:rRNA from 1 species